UACAGAGACUGCAAGCGUUAUUCGGAUUCACUGGGCGUAAAGGGUGCGCAGGCGGUCGUGUGUGUCAGGUGUGAAAUCCCGGAGCUUAACUCCGGAACUGCGCCUGAAACUACACGACUAGAGCAUUGGAGAGGGAAGUGGAAUUCAUGGUGUAGCAGUGAAAUGCGUAGAUAUCAUGAGGAACACCAGAGGCGAAGGCGACUUCCUGGACAAUUGCUGACGCUCAGGCACGAAAGCAUGGGGAGCAAAA
rnacentral:rRNA from 1 species